rnacentral:sRNA from 1 species
GUCAGGUGUGGCCAUGCAUGCCUGUAAUCCCAGCUACUCAGGAGGCUGAGGCAGGAGGAUGGCAAGUUCAAGGCCUGCCUCAGCAACUUAGUGAGACCCUGUCUCAG